CAACGUGGGUAACGUUCCCUCGGGCGGGGGAUAACCUUCCGAAAGGAGGGCUAAUACCGCAUAAGACCACGAUACCGAAAGGCUUCGAGGUAAAAGCAGGCCUCUGCAUGCAAGCUUGCACCUGAGGACCGGCCCGCGGCCCAUCAGCUAGUUGGCAGGGUAACGGCCUACCAAGGCUAAGACGGGUAGCUGGUCUGAGAGGAUGAUCAGCCACACUGGAACUGAGACACGGUCCAG
rnacentral:rRNA from 1 species